CAGUAUUCCGAAAGAUGGUCUGUCAUUGAAGAGAAAUGAAGUAAAUUGUUGUGAACGUAUUUGCCACGGAUAAUACAGUAUGCUGUUUUUGGAUAUCAAUCCUCUAUCUUAAGAAUUCGUUGGAUAAACAUCAGAGCGAAAAAAUCAAUGACAAAAGUUAGCCAAAAGUUGAGUGAAUAUUUUGAUGCGUCGAUUGAAUUUUGCAACGGAGACUUAAAUCAUUGAAGAUAUUUCCCCUAAGAAUGUUUUGUCAAAUUGUCAAACAUUUAUGAUAAAGCUAAUUCAGAUAUGCUCAUAGAAUAAUUUAUUAUUUAGUUUUUUAGUAUUUUUAGUCUUGUGUAAUUCUGGUUUUUAAAUUGUAAUUUAUCUCGUAGUUUGUUAGUUUGAGGGCCACAAGUUUUUCACACUUGUUGUGUCACGUGUUACCCUCUUUUAAUAAAGUUUAAUCAAUCAAUCAGUAAAA